UACGGAGGGUGCAAGCGUUAUCCGGAUUCACUGGGUUUAAAGGGUGCGUAGGCGGGCAUGUAAGUCCGUGGUGAAAUCUCCGAGCUUAACUCGGAAACUGCCAUGGGUACUAUGUGUCUUGAAUGUUGUGGAGGUGAGCGGAAUAUGUCAUGUAGCGGUGAAAUGCUUAGAUAUGACAUAGAACACCAAUUGCGAAGGCAGCUCACUACACAAAUAUUGACGCUGAGGCACGAAAGCGUGGGGAUCAAACAGG
rnacentral:rRNA from 1 species